AUAUCUUAUAUUGUUGACUAGAGUCUAGGGGUGGACAAAACACCGAACCGAAUCAAAUCGAACCAACCGAACCGAACCAAAGUCUAUUUCAAACCAUUCGGUUGAAGAUUUCUCCAACCCGAAUGGUUCGGUUUAAAACCGAACCGAAAAACCAAUGUGUUUUUGUAAUUAUUUAAAUUAAAAAUAUUAGUAAUACUAAUAUACUAAAAUUAUAAUACCAAACCACAUAUUUUCCAUUUUCAUUCACUAACAUAUAUUGUUCUAAUCUAAUAUGUAAUCAUCAAAAAAAUUGAUUAAAAAAAUUAGAAAAUCUGUAUUUUUAUUCUUAUAUAUGUAAACGUGGAUGUUAAAUCUAAACCUAAAACUUAAAGCAAAUUUUAUUAAAAACAAAAAAUUUUCUCCAUAGCGUCACAUGAAAGAUGAUUCAUUGCAGAUUUUUUAACAAUGAUAUAAGAAACAUUACUAGUGAUGUUGAUUUUUUUUAUUUUAGUUAACUUUCAUUUGUUUUAAUUUUUUAUAUACAUUUUAUGAUUUUUUAAAGGUUUUUGUUUCAGUUUUAUAUUGAAUUUAAUUCACAUAGUUUAUAUUUACAUAAUUUAUGUUUUAAAAAUUUUUUUUACAAAAAAUGAAACUAAGAAGAACCUAAUUAAACCGAUCCAAAAAAACAAAGCGAACCGAACUGAACACAAACCGAACCGAAUAUGAACCGUACACAAACCGAACCAAAAAAAUAUGUAAUUAAUAGCUCCAUGUACAUGUUCUAAUUUCUGGAUAAAAUUUCAAACAUCUAUACUAUACUAAAAGCAGCAUAUACUCCACUCUAAAGCUAUCCACAUCAGCAAAAAAAUUCAACCAAUUAAAUGUUUCUAUUUUGCCACGUUACAUCUUCUUUAUCGACAUGGAUCAAAUGUUUUGGUCUUCUAAAAUUUGGUUUCAGCCCAUUUAAAAACCAUGUUACACUUUCCGACAAAACCCACGCUUUCCCUUUUCAGUCAAUAGUCUCUUACGAUUCCUCUUCGUAGCCAUUGUUCUAUUCUUUCCGAAUCUCCGUUACUUGCAGUAACUAUCCACUCUAAAAUCAUUGCUUUUGCUCUUUACACCUUCUUACAAGAUGUAUCUUUCACCUCCUUUUGUUUUCCUCCUGUAUGAUCUAUUUCUCGAUUCUUAUUGUAUACCGUAAUCUACGAUUUUUUCAGUCGAAGAUCAAGCUGUAUCCAUGAGAUCUGCUAAGUCCUCCGGAAAGUUUUAUGUCGCUGUGUAUUUCACCAACAUCUCCUCGGGUACAGCGGAAUCUGAACUAGGCUUCCAGUUAAUCCGUUUCUGGGAGACGAUAAGCACAGCUAAAGGUGGUUUGCUUAUUGGCUUGGAGCUUCUCCUUACAGGCAAGCAGAAAUGGCUACGCACAACUCGAAAUCUACCGCAUCAAUAUUUUUCUCCCGUUCUUAGUGGUUUGUAAAUUUGUCGUUUCAUCGCUCCAAUGUCACAAAGAAACUUAAUAAUCAUCUGGAUGCCUGGAAAAAUUGACUUGAUCACAGCUGUUUUUUUUUAAAGAAGAUAACUGUUGCAGCUAUGUCCAAACCGCAGCUGCGAAUAGUGGAAUCUGAAGUUUGUGUCCUGGAAAGCCUCUGGCAGCUGAAACUGGGGUAAAAUUCUGUAUUCUUUUAUCUUUAACUUGGAUGGGAGGUAUUAUUUUGUUGUUCAAAGAGUUGAAUCCAAACAGCCUUUAGGAGAAGAAGCAAAAAUUUACCUGAGAAAAGUUAUACAAGAGCUUUAUGUGUAGGUUUUUUUCUUAAAUACGUAGGUGAAACUCUGAACACCUUGCUCCUGCAAAAAGUCGCAUUUGAAUAUGUAAGUUGUGUACGCCUUGGUCCUGUUUAGUCUUUGCAUGUUUAAGAAAUUCAAACUGGCUUGAAGUUGACUGUUUACAGUCUCUUUAACCGCUGUAGUUAGUGUGAAGGUUUGUUGCUGAGUUUAUUGCAUAGAUCCAUUUUCAUGUGUGGAUUGUUUCAACAAACCAUCAUUAAGACUCUGUCUUGGCUACCCGCAAAUAGAUUGAGAAUUCACUUACAAACUCAAAGGAACAGCAAUGCUCUCUAUUCAGAGAUCAUGUUGAGAGAUCCCAGAGCUUUUUACACAGAUUUCUAUCAUGCUCGCUGGAACUGGAAGCACUGCUCUUUUCACUGUGAUUUGUAGCUUUGCUUCAAGGCGUGUACCCUUUUGCGCAAACAAGUUCUUCAAGACUGUACUUGGUUUCAGUUUGGUCAUACUGCUUUGGGCUGUGGAUAGACUCGGGAGGUGAUUACUUAGCGCAUACUUCUUCCAUGGGAAGACAUUCUGAUGUUUGAUUGUGUUCUUGCGAUCAAUGAGCCUUACUUAAUCAGCAGCUCCUGCUGGUUGUGGCUUCUAAGUUGGCAACAAGAACAAGAGUAAUCUCAGAGGAAGCAAAAGCCACGACCAAGUACUUUAUAUUCUUAUAAGAAACAUCUUUGCUCCUAUGUAAACUAUAUAUGUUUCUCCAAUGACAUGAAGAAUAUAUAAAUUGGUUUUUGUUUGUGUGAUCAGGAACAAACAAAAAUUUUGAAUA